rnacentral:rRNA from 1 species
AGACUACGACGUAGAUAGGUCAGGUGUGUAAGCGCUGCGAGGCGUUGAGCUAACUGAUACUAAUUGCCCGUGAGGCUUAACCA